rfam:Glossina austeni unplaced genomic scaffold Scaffold2, whole genome shotgun sequence.
UAUGGGGGUAGUUGCAGCACGUAGGUGCCAUGGAUGGCAAAUCGUGCAUGCUGCUGGCACGGAUCAAUAGCAUCUUUCGAAGAUUUCUACCUCA